UACGUAGGGGGCUAGCGUUGUCCGGAUUUACUGGGCGUAAAGAGCGCGCAGGCGGUCGAUUUAGUCGCGUGUGAAAGCCCCCGGCUCAACUGGGGAGGGUCACGCGAUACUGAUCGACUCGAAGGCAGGAGAGGGUAGUGGAAUUCCCGGUGUAGUGAUGAAAUGCGUAGAUAUCGGGAGGAACACCAGUGGCGAAGGCGACUACCUGGCCUGUUCUUGACGCUGAGGCGCGAAAGCUAGGGGAGCAAACGGG
rnacentral:rRNA from 1 species